rnacentral:rRNA from 1 species
UGGGGAAUAUUGCACAAUGGGGGAAACCCUGAUGCAGCGACGCCGCGUGAGUGAUGAAGUAUUUCGGUAUGUAAAGCUCUAUCAGCAGGGAAGAUAAUGACGGUACCUGACUAAGAAGCACCGGCUAAAUACGUGCCAGCAGCCGCGGUAAUACGUAUGGUGCAAGCGUUAUCCGGAUUUACUGGGUGUAAAGGGUGCGUAGGUGGCAAGACAAGUUGGAAGUGAAAUCUAUGGGCUCAACCCAUAAACUGCUUUCAAAACUGUUUUUCUUGAGUAGUGCAGAGGUAGGCGGAAUUCCCGGUGUAGCGGUGGAAUGCGUAGAUAUCGGGAGGAACACCAGUGGCGAAGGCGGCCUACUGGGCACCAACUGACGCUGAGGCUCGAAAGUGUGGGUAGCAAACAGGAUUAGAUACCCUGGUAGUCCACACCGUAAACGAUGAUUACUAGGUGUUGGAGGAUUGACCCCUUCAGUGCCGCAGUUAACACAAUAAGUAAUCCACCUGGGGAGUACGACCGCAAGGUUGAAACUCAAAGGAAUUGACGGGGGCCCGCACAAGCAGUGGAGUAUGUGGUUUAAUUCGACGCAACGCGAAGAACCUUACCAAGUCUUGACAUCCUGCGACGAUGCUGGAAACAGUAUUUUCCUUCGGGACGCAGAGACAGGUGGUGCAUGGUUGUCGUCAGCUCGUGUCGUGAGAUGUUGGGUUAAGUCCCGCAACGAGCGCAACCCUUACUGUCAGUUACUACGCAAGAGGACUCUGGCAGGACUGCCGUUGACAAAACGGAGGAAGGUGGGGAUGACGUCAAAUCAUCAUGCCCUUUAUGACUUGGGCUACACACGUACUACAAUGGCGUUAAACAAAGAGAAGCAAGACCGCGAGGUGGAGCAAAACUCAGAAACAACGUCCCAGUUCGGACUGCAGGCUGCAACUCGCCUGCACGAAGUCGGAAUUGCUAGUAAUCGUGGAUCAGCAUGCCACGGUGAAUACGUUCCC